UACAGAGGGUGCGAGCGUUAAUCGGAAUUACUGGGCGUAAAGCGCACGCAGGUGGCUGAGAAAGUCGAUUGUGAAAGCCCUGGGCUUAACCUGGGAAUUGCAGUCGAAACUACUUAGCUAGAGUAUGGGAGAGGGCAGUGGAAUUCCCGGUGUAGCGGUGAAAUGCGUAGAUAUCGGGAGGAACAUCAGUGGCGAAGGCGGCUGCCUGGCCCAAUACUGACACUCAGGUGCGACAGCGUGGGGAGCAAACAGG
rnacentral:rRNA from 1 species